AGAGUUUGAUUAUGGCUCAGGAUGAACGCUGGCGGCGUGCUUAACACAUGCAAGUCGAACGGAGUUUUUAAACGGAAGUUUUCGGAUGGAAGUUAAGAACUUAGUGGCGGACGGGUGAGUAACGCGUGGGUAACCUGCCUCAUACAGGGGGAUAACAGUUAGAAAUGACUGCUAACACCGCAUAAUAUAGUGAAACCGCAUGAUUUUGCUAUCAAAUAUUUAUAGGUAUGAGAUGGGCCCGCGUCUGAUUAGCUAGUUGGUGGGGUAAAAGCCUACCAAGGCGACGAUCAGUAGCCGGCUUGAGAGAGUGACCGGCCACAUUGGGACUGAGACACGGCCCAAACUCCUACGGGAGGCAGCAGGUGGGGAAUAUUGGACAAUGGGGGAAACCCUGAUCCAGCGACGCCCGCGUGAGUGAAGAAGUAUUUCGGUAUGUAAAGCUCUAUCAGCAGGGAAGAUAAUGACAGUACCUGACUAAGAAGCCCCGGCUAACUACGUGCCAGCAGCUGC
rnacentral:rRNA from 1 species